rnacentral:rRNA from 1 species
AAUGAACGUUGGCGGCAUGGAUUAGGCAUGCAAGUCGAGCGAGAAGAGUUUUGAAGCUUGCUUUAGAACUCGGACAGCGGCGAAAGGGAGAGUAACGCGUAGUUAUGUGCCCUAGGGUCCGGAAUAGCCACGGGAAACUGUGGGUAAUGCCGGAUAAUAUCCCCGGAUCAAAGGUGUGAUUCCGCCCUAGGAGCAGACUGCGUCCUACUAGCUAGUUGGUGGGGUAAUGGCCUACCAAGGCAACGAUGGGUAGCGGGUGUGAGAGCAUGACCCGUCUCACUGGGACUGAGACACUGCUCAGACACCUACGGGUGGCUGCAGUCGAGAAUCUUCGGCAAUGGGCGAAAGCCUGACCGAGCGAUGCCGCGUGCGGGAUGAAGGCCCUCGGGUUGUAAACCGCUGUCGUAGGGGAGGAAGGUCCGUGAAGAGCGGGACUUGACCUAUCCUAGGAGGAAGUACGGGCUAAGUUCGUGCCAGCCGCCGCCGUAA